rnacentral:rRNA from 1 species
AACGAACGCUGGCGGCAUGCCUAACACAUGCAAGUCGAACGAGACCUUCGGGUCUAGUGGCGCACGGGUGCGUAACGCGUGGGAAUCUGCCCUUGGGUUCGGAAUAACAGUUGGAAACGACUGCUAAUACCGGAUGAUGACGUAAGUCCAAAGAUUUAUCGCCCAAGGAUGAGCCCGCGUAGGAUUAGCUAGUUGGUGAGGUAAAGGCUCACCACGGCGACGAUCCUUAGCUGGUCUGAGAGGAUGAUCAGCCACACUGGGACUGAGACACGGCCCAGACUCCUACGGGAGGCAGCAGUGGGGAAUAUUGGACAAUGGGCGAAAGCCUGAUCCAGCAAUGACGCGUGAGUGAUGAAGGCCUUAGGGUUGUAAAGCUCUUUUACCCGGGAUGAUAAUGACAGUACCGGGAGAAUAAGCUCCGGCUAACUCCGUG